GUCACCAAUUUCUUCCUUAUGCAUCAGAGACCUGCUCCCUUAAAACUCAGGUUCAGUGAGCCCAUUAAACACGGUUCUCUUCUGCCAAGAGUUGAAGCUGUUGGGUUCUCUCUUUGCUCUCAAAAACCACAAACAUUACAUAUCUAUGUCCUCUGCUGUAAAGAAGAUGUGGAGUCUGGACUGAUGGUCCCUUGGAGCAAUGGCAGAGUCUGAAGGUGCUUCUGCCCCCGACCACUCCACCAUGCCACCAAACCCUGCUAGUACCGGCUGCCCUUGCCUGGCUUGCAGCGAGCUCACACACUGCGUCAGGAGCUGCACUGACCGUGGGGCCAUCUGGAGACACAGGCCUGCCCUGUGCUGUCAGCCAAGGUUUGCCCAGAUGGCCUGGUAGGACCUUCAUGGGAAUCUGAGCAUUUAACUCCCAGGGUUCGAGGCACUUUCAGAGGUGGAUCCCAGCCAAGAUGGGGGAGCCAGGAGGAGGUGCCAGCUCUGGAAAGAGCCCAGGAUGGCACCCACCCAAGUCAGCCCACUCAAGACAGCCGCCAUGGCCGCUCACUUCCAAGCAUGCUCUAUUGCCUCUUGAAAUCAGGAAACAGACAUGAACAUCUAGCAAGUUGGUGUUUCUUGUUUACCCGAAAGGCUUUUGCUAAACCUGCAGGUUACACACAGAAUGGGGCACAUGGCCUGUGCCAUAGUUUUCUGAUAAUUUCAUAAUUUUCUGAUGCCAGAAAAUUGCUUAUAAAAAUUGAAUACAGGCCCUCCCUGGUGGCGCAGCGGGUUGAAGCGCAGCGCUGAGAAUCU